UUUGCUUACUAUACCUGCUGAUGUAGCAUUAUAGACUGUAUUGUUACUCUUGCUCCCAUCAGGAUAAAUCUGACCCCUUCCUCUGUUCCCACCUACAUAUAUGGGAUAUUUUAAGAAGUGAACGUCUUUCCUCGUAGCAGGGUCGGGGGAAAGAAUGGGAAAGGCGAUUUCACUAUAUUUCUGACCGGGAACAGGACCUAUCACAAGAAUAUUUCUUUUAUUGGGACGAUAACUCUGAAAAGACAGAUUUCCCAUCUUUUCUCUCACCUCGGGAGAAAUACGAUCGGGGGGGGCUAAUUCGAAUCCCUCGGGUAAAAUAAGAACAGCCCCUACAUUCAAAGCCCCCUUUUUACCAUUAGCAAGAACUUGUUUCAGUUGCAUAUCAUAAGGGAUUCGAACAACUGCUUCAAAUACAGUAUCAGGAAGCACGGCUUGCGGAACUUCAAUAUCCACGGGCUUAUUAGCUAAAUGGCAAUUGGCACAUACAAUUCGUCCAGUUGCUUCUCGUGGGUUUUCAUAACCCUGCUGCGACAAAAAUGGGAUAUGCAUUUGAAAUAGAUGCUCGGGUUAUUAUAUGUAUCAUGAUCGAUAUAGAAAUUGAUCAAGUCAUCUGUUCCUUUACCCAAGAAAAAGUAUUUCUAUUUUGCAUAUCCAAUCAUUGAUCCUAGAGUUUCUAAAAAAUAAUAAUAUGUAUAUAUUUAUUUAUUUAUAUGUGUGUAUAUAUGUGUGUGUGUGUGUAUAAAAGGGUGGUUGGGGGGGGGGUGGUUUGCUCCUAAUUAGGGUUGUUAACGAGCCGAGCCGAGCCCGAGCCUGGGAGAGCUCGGCUCGGCUCGUUUCACAUAAGCUCGGGCUCGGUAACGAGCUCUAUAUUGGGCUCGAGCUCGGGCUUGCUUGGCAAAGCAAAAGCUCGGGCUUGAGCUCGUAAAGCUCGUUUCAAUUACGAGCUCCAGAACGAGCCCGAGCUCGGGCUCGUAAUCGGGCUCGAGCUCGGGCUCGAUAACAGGCUAUUUUUCUCUAUGUGGUCAGAUUUUUAUGAAUUAUGGUGCUAAAAUAAGAUCUUUCAGUGGGAGACUAGAGCUUGUUUGGGCUAGUGAGCUGCUCGGGCUCGAGCUCAGGCUCGGAUGUAAACAAGCCUCAUAUUGGGCUCGGGCUCGGGCUCAUUUGACUAACGAGCCGAGCCUGAGCCGGAUUUUUACCGAGCCGAGCCUGAGCCGGAUUUUUACCGAGCCGAGCCCGAGGCCGAGCAGCUCGGCUCAUUAACAGCCCUACUUCUAAUCACCGAGGUUUUAUGUCACAUAUAAUCAGAUUUCUAGUCCAAUAUAUCCUUUCUAAUCUAUUUAAAAUAGGGAUACUCCUAACAAGUUUGGCAUUGUGUAUUUAAAGCUACAGAGUCUUCAAUCUGCAACAUUUGUUUUUUGAGAGUGCAUAAGACCAUCAUAGCGUGGUCUGAGAUAGCUGCAGGCAUUAAUUUAAUUUUGGUUUCGUGUCAAGGCACAUUAUAUGUGAGGAUAGAUGGUGCUCGUGAGACGUGAAAGGUGACCAAUUUUGUAGCUAUUAACUGGGGUUCUAUCUUGAUGCUUGGAAAUCAAGGAUGAUGAUAUUUGGUUUGAUCUUGAAAUGCUUUAUGAGGAAAUUGGUAACAUAGAGGCUAUACAAAAUAUAAGGCUGUAUGUGUUUUUGUAAGGUGGUUUUGCCUACUUUUCACUUUCAUCUUAAAUAUGUUUUCCUGCUAUAAUCUCUGGAGAUGACUUAGCUUUUCCAAUGAUGCCUGUAUUUCAAAUAACAAGUUGGACCAAAGACAAGUUCAUAUCACCACUCGGGAGGAGCAUUGUGUCACUGGGAUGUUUCAAGAGAUCAGGAAAAAAAAGUGAAAAGAAUGAUCCGAAGCUCACUCCUUGGACUGGUAGUGAUGCAUUUAGACCAAGAAGAGCUUAUUGAACUAUCAGUGAUAUAUGCGGCACAUUUUCUUGAUGAGUGACCCUAGGGAUGUUGUUUGGCCACCCAUGUCUACUACUGUAGUAUUAUUUUUCUUUCUUUUGUUGGCUGCCACAAUAAGUUUUAUUUUGUUCAAAAAAGAGAGCUAUUAAGUGAAUUGGUCUAAAGUGUUUUCACCCCUUUUUUCUCUCUUCUAGAACUUAAAUGAGUUAUUGGGUUUCCUAACCAUUAGUAGCAGUCCUUGUUUCUAGUUUCGAGACUUGCUAUCUUGCUUUCUAUUCAUUAAGGCUAUGUUUGGCAUCACUGUCACUUUUCUUUUUUAAAAAAAAAUUGAAAACCGAAAGUCUAUUUCGAUUUUUUUCAUAUUUUUGACAAUAGAAAAUAUGUUUGGUUCACUCCUUUUUUAUAAAAAAAACAAGAGGAGCCACUUGACCAUGUUGAGGUUGAGAAGCAGCAUCAGGAGGAGGAGGCGGGCAGCUUGAGCAUUGCUGAUGGCCUCGUGAUUGGUGCACUCGCCAAGGGUCUCGAGGAUGAAGCUGGUUUGGGCGACAUUGGAGAUGGUGGUGGCCAUGGCAGAGUCCAACCAUGGCCACCUGGAUGGCUGCAAGGCCACUAGGCAAUGUCGUCAUCGCCAAUAGGGAGCUCAUUGAGGGCGUAGGGGGGGGGGAUUGCAGAGCGGGGGAGAAGGCAAGGAGAGGUGGGUUUGGUGGAAGAGGCCAGCGGUAGACUUGAUCUAGAUGUCGGCUAGGUGGGAGAGGCAGACAUGCUCAAUGGCGAUGACGUGCUCGAUGGCGGUGACAUGCUCGAUGGCGGUGACAUGCUCGAUGGCGUGCUCGAGGCAAACAGGGGGAGGUAGGGCAGAGAUAAUGCAGAGAGGUUAGGCGGAGGGGAUGAGAGAGGGGUGAAAGCCCACUUUUUAUUAUAAAAAAAAGUGAAAAGUUUCACAUCUACUUUUUAUAGAAAUAAUAAAAUUUGUUUAAAGAAAAACAAAACAAGGUAACCAAAAAUGAUUUUUUGCAUUGGAUUCCGUGUUUCUGUUUAAAAAUAGAAAAAAAAAGAGGGGAAAAAAUAGUACCAAACAGGGCCUUUGACUCAGUAGGGUCUUUCAAGAGAUCGGGAAAAAAAAGAAAGUGAAAAGAAUGAUCUAAGGUUCAUUUGUGCUGGUGGUGAUGCAUUUAGAUUGAGAAGAGUUUAAUCAAUUGGAUAGAACUAUUUAGAAAUACAUGCAGCACAUUUUCCUGAGCGACUCUAAGGAUGCUUGGUGUGGCCACCUAUAUCUACUACUAUAGUAGUUUUUUUCUUCCUUUGUUGGCUCCCACAAUGUUUUUUUUUUGUGUAUUUUGGAGUGCAGAUUAAAAGGAAAAAAGAGAGCUAAUAAG
rnacentral:lncRNA from 1 species